rnacentral:rRNA from 1 species
CUACGGGAUGCAGCAGUGAGGAAUAUUGCACAAUGGGGGGAACCCUGAUGCAGCAACGCCGCGUGUAGGAUGCCGCCUUUCGUUUUUUAAACUCCUUUUAUAUGUCAAGAAAAUGACGGUAGCAUAUGAAUAAGCACCGGCUAACUCCGUGCCAGCAGCCGCGGUAAUACGGAGGGUGCAAGCGUUACUCGGAAUCACUGGGCGUAAAGGACGCGUAGGCGGGUUGGAAAGUCAGGUGUGAAAUCCUACAGCUUAACUGUAGAACUGCACUUGAAACUUCUAAUCUAGAGUAUGGGAGGGGGAGAUGGAAUUAGUGGUGUAGGGGUAAAAUCCGUAGAUAUCACUAGGAAUACCUAAAGCGAAGGCGAUCUCCUGGAACAUUACUGACGCUAAGGCGUGAAAGCGUGGGGAGCAAACCGGAUUAGAUACCCGAGUAGUC